rfam:Picea glauca, whole genome shotgun sequence.
ACAUGCCUACAACAUAGUGUUGAUGAAACAGAUCCCAUUAGAACUCCACAGUUAAGCACACUCAGGCUAGAGUAGUAUUGGGAUGGGUGAUCUCCCGGGAAGUCCUAGUGUUUUACAUGGC